UACGUAGGCAGCAAGCGUUGUUCGGAGUUACUGGGCGUAAAGGGUGUGUAGGCGGUUCCUUAAGUUUGCUGUGAAAUCUCCCGGCUUAACCGGGAGGGUGCGGUGAAUACUGAGGGACUAGAGUACGGGAGAGGAAAGUGGAAUUCCUGGUGUGGCGGUGAAAUGCGUAGAUAUCAGGAGGAACACCGGUGGUGUAGACGGCUUUCUGGACCGUAACUGACGCUGAGACACGAAAGCGUGGGUAGCAAACAGG
rnacentral:rRNA from 1 species